AGUAACACGUGACUAACCUACCCUUGAGUGGGGGAUAACCUCGGGAAACCGGGGCUAAUACCGCAUAACAUCUUUGGAUCGGAAGAACUGGAGAUCAAAGGAGCAAUUCGCUUAAGGAGGGGGUCGCGGCUGAUUAGCUAGUUGGCGGGGUAAUGGCCCACCAAGGCUUUGAUCGGUAGCCGGCCUGAGAGGGCGCACGGCCACACUGGAACUGAAACACGGUCCAGACUCCUACGGGAGGCAGCAGUGGGGAAUUUUGCGCAAUGGGGGAAACCCUGACGCAGCAACGCCGCGUGGAGGAUGAAGUCCCUUGGGACGUAAACUCCUUUCGACCGGGACGAUAAUGACGGUACCGGUGGAAGAAGCCCCGGCUAACUUCGUGCCAGCAGCCGCGGUAAUACGAGGGGGGCAAGCGUUGUUCGGAAUUAUUGGGCGUAAAGGGCGCGUAGGCGGUGCGGUAAGUCACCUGUGAAACCUCUGGGCUUAACCCAGAGCCUGCAGGCGAAACUGCCGUGCUUGAGGGUGGGAGAGGUGCGUGGAAUUCCCGGUGUAGCGGUGAAAUGCGUAGAUAUCGGGGAGGAACACCUGUGGCGAAAGCGGCGCACUGGACCACUUCUGACGCUGAGGCGCGAAAGCUAGGGGAGCAAACAGGAUUAGAUACCCUGGUAGUCCUAGCCCUAAACGAUGGAUGCUUGGUGUGAUCGGUACCCAAUCCGAUUGUGCCGUAGCUACGCGUUAGCAUCCCGCCUG
rnacentral:rRNA from 1 species